GACAGAGGGUGCAAACGUUGUUCGGAAUUACUGGGCGUAAAGCGCGUGUAGGCUGCUCCGCAAGUCGGAUGUGAAAGCCCUGGGCUCAACCUAGGAAGUGCAUUCGAUACUGCGGAGCUGGAGUCCUGGAGAGGAAGGCGGAAUUCUCGGUGUAGAGGUGAAAUUCGUAGAUAUCGAGAGGAACACCGGUGGCGAAGGCGGCCUUCUGGACAGUGACUGACGCUGAGACGCGAAAGCGUGGGGAGCGAACAGG
rnacentral:rRNA from 1 species